rnacentral:rRNA from 1 species
UACAGAGGGGGCUAGCGUUGUUCGGAAUUACUGGGCGUAAAGGGCGCGUAGGCGGCCCGCUAAGUCGAACGUGAAAUCCCCGGGCUCAACCCGGGAACUGCGUCCGAUACUGGCAGGCUUGAAUCCGGGAGAGGGAUGUGGAAUUCCAGGUGUAGCGGUGAAAUGCGUAGAUAUCUGGAGGAACGCCGGUGGCGAAGGCGGCAUCCUGGACCGGUAUUGACGCUGAGGCGCGAAAGCCAGGGGAGCAAACGGG